GACGAACGCUGGCGGCGUGCCUAAUACAUGCCAGUAGAACGCACAGUUUAUACCGUAGCUUGCUACACCAUAGACUGUGAGUUGCGAACGGGUGAGUAACGCGUAGGUAACCUGCCUGGUAGCGGGGGAUAACUAUUGGAAACGAUAGCUAAUACCGCAUAAUAUUGAUUAUUGCAUGAUAAUUGAUUGAAAGAUGCUAUUGCAUCACUACCAGAUGGACCUGCGUUGUAUUAGCUAGUAGGUGAGGUAACGGCUCACCUAGGCGACGAUACAUAGCCGACCUGAGAGGGUGAUCGGCCACACUGGGACUGAGACACGGCCCAGACUCCUACGGGAGGCAGCAGUAGGGAAUCUUCGGCAAUGGACGAAAGUUUGACCGAGCAACGCCGCGUGAGUGAAGAAGGUUUUCGGAUCGUAAAGCUCUGUUGUAAGAGAAGAACGGGUGUGAGAGUGGAAAGUUCACACUGUGACGGUAUCUUACCAGAAAGGGACGGCUAACUACGUG
rnacentral:rRNA from 1 species